rnacentral:lncRNA from 1 species
CCCACCAGCCUCCCGAUUCGCAAAGCCUGCCUCUCCUCCCACCCUCCGCCGCCGCGCGCGCAGACGACCAGCGACCCGCAGGCAUGGGCGUGUACACCUUCGUGUGCCGCAACUCCGGCGGCGCGUGGACGGCCAAGCAGCAGUCCGGCGAGAUCGAGGCCUCCGCCGCCACCCCCUACGAGCUCCAGCGCCAGCUCGUCGCCGCCGCCUCCGCCGCCGAUUCCGCGUCCGGCGUCCAGUCCUCCUUCUCCAUGGUCACCCCCAGCUCCGCCGUCUUCCAGGUCUGGUCAUACGACGCCGCCCUCCCAGACCCCCGGAUCCAGCUAUGUGGAAUAUAGAUGCGAACUGUUUGGUAGUUAAGGAUCUGAACUUGCUAGGGUCCGGGUGUGUCGCUGUUUCUCGUCGCAUCUGAUGAAUAAUAGGUUGUCGAUUGCUUUCGGUCGAAACUGAUUGUUGCGUAGCUGCUUCCUAUAGCUAGAUUUUCUACUCUGUUUAGUUAUUGCGUUGCCUGGGAAGUGUUUAUUGUCUGCUGUUUGUCGUUGAAGUUGUGCCGUGACAAGUUAUUCCUGAUUUGUAUACACCGGAUUUAGGAUAGUAAAGUGUUCACCAGCAGAUGGGGUCCUAGCUUGUAGCUAUGUUUUAGUUGAUAAUAUGUUUUGUUAUUUACUAAACCGUGUACAUUGUUAUGCCUUGGUUCAUAUUGAUGCGACAUUGCUAUGAUUUUAAAGCUCCAUGACCUUAAAGCUUUUGGUUGCUAGCAGCAUUGCUUGUGUAUUU